UACGUAGGUGGCGAGCGUUAUCCGGAUUUAUUGGGUUUAAAGGGUGCGUAGGCGGCUGAUUAAGUCAGCGGUGAAAGGUAGCAGCUUAACUGUUUUACAUGCCGUUGAUACUGGUUAGCUUGAGUUAACAGAAGGCAGAUAGAAUUUCUGGUGUAGCGGUGAAAUGCUUAGAUACCAGGAGGAAUACCGAUUGCGAAGGCAGUCUGCUGCAGUUACACUGACGCUGAGGCACGAAAGUGCGGGGAUCAAACAGGAUUAGAUACCCUGGUAGUCCGCACAGUAAACGAUGAUUACUAGUUGUUGGCUUAAGUCAGUGACCAAGGGAAACCGAUAAGUAAUCCACCUGGGGAGUACGCCGGCAACGGUGAA
rnacentral:rRNA from 1 species